UACGUAGGGUGCGAGCGUUGCCCGGAGUUAUUGGGCGUAAAGGGCGCGUAGGCGGCUCGGCACGUCCGUUGUGAAAUCGCCCGGCUCAACUGGGCGGGGUCGGCGGAUACGGCCGAGCUGGAGCAAGCUAGGGGGUAAUGGAAUUCCCGGUGUAGUGGUGGAAUGCGUAGAUAUCGGGAGGAACACCAAUGGCGAAAGCAGCUCUCUGGGACGGUACUGACGCUGAGACGCGAAAGCGUGGGGAGCGAACAGG
rnacentral:rRNA from 1 species